AUGGGAAAAAAUGAAUAUCAAGUUUAAAAACAUAAUACCAACCCGGGGCAACGCCCGAGCCCAAAUACUAGUUCUUGUUUAAAAGGAUCUUUAAUUACUCCCUCUAAUUGAAAUAAUGAUUUUCUAUCGAAGACUAUCUUUUAAAAAGCUUUUUCCACCCCUCAAAAAAAAACUUUUUUCAAAAAAAAAAAAAAAAACCAUCUUACUGUAAUAGCCUAUAUUUUAAGCAGGUUUAAUAACGACUUUAUAAAUGAGAUUUGAUAAGUAUAAUAGCUUAUAUUUUCAGACACGCUUUAGUCAAAGUUAGCUAUGUUCAUAUUAGUAAAGAAAUUACUUUGAGAAUUAUUAUUUAUCGUCUAAAGUAAGUACCAAGCACAAAUAAGUUAGUAUGGAUUUUAUAAAAUAGAGAUAUUGAGUUAACGAUUUUAAGCUUUGAAAUAAAGAGAAACCCAUUUUUAAUUACAAUUUAUUUCUCCUCACUCAUGUCAUCUACUCUAGAUGCUAGAGCAUCACUCUCUUUUUUUUAUGACUUCUCAAUCAAGUGCCAAAGUGUAUUUUUUCCUAUAGAUCAAUUAUUCUCUUCAAGAUUUCAGUUUAAUAACUCAAGUGGUUGAGAAUUGGGAGAAACCCCAAAACCAAAAUAAAACCCCAAACAAUAAUUUUCUCUCUCCUCUGAUUUUAUACCCCGUACUGUGCAUGUACCAUUUCUGCAUUUGCGAGUCGGAAUUUGCCCAAACUUAUUGAAUCAAAGUUGUAGAUCUCGAAAAGUUAUUGAACUUAGACCCAAAAAUCACUUGAUUUGGAGUUCGGAGCUAUGAGUUAUGGUCUUUGCAAAUUUGGUGUUGCUACCUCCAUUUCUCUCUCCUCUGUUUUAUUCCGACAAUCUGUUGCCCCAAUUAUCUACAACAUGCAAUCCAAUUUUGAUCUUUGUUGCUGAAUCAAAGUUGUAGAUCACUUCGAGCUAAUGAAUUUGGGCACAAAAAUCACUUGAUUUGGAGUUCGGAGCUAUGAGUUAUGGUCUUUUUGUAGAUCACCUCGAGCUAAUGAAUUUGGGCACAAAAAUCGCUCAAUUCGGAGUUCGGAACUAGGAGUUACGCCUCACACAAGUUCAGCACUGCUGCUGUACCUUGUGUUGUGCUGCUGUCGUGGUUGGCUUGUUUGCCCAUGUUGUCAUUGCUAACUUGUUGCCUUGUUGCUGCCAUUGUUGGUAUUCCUUUCCAUAUGAAGGUAUAAGCUAAUUUUUUCUUAAUUCCUCAUCUCCUUUGAUUCCAAUUCAAGUGUGGUGCAAUUGAAUUUUAUAAUUUGAUUUUAGAAACAAACUUGGUUCUCAAUUUUGUUAUUGAUUAGCAAAUAUAGUUAUGAUAAGAAUUGUUAAGCUUAAAUAUUGAAUAUUUUAUUUUUUUUAUUGAAUUGAAGCUUCUAAUAUGAAGUAAGCCUCUUAAGUAAGUUUAUAAAAACUGAUUUUUAUAAAUUAUGUUGUUUGAUAAUACUCUCUGAAAUCAGAAUGAUGUUAAUUAGAGAUAGAAUUGAUGUUGUGAGUUGGAUUAGUAGAAUGGGUCGUAUAUAAGGGUUGUAGUGGUUAGUUCAUGGAAGAGCUUAGAAAGUAUGAGUAAUUCAAUUUGUUUAUCUAAAUUGUUGUGAGGAUGGUUAAUGAUUGUUGUUAUUGUUUUGAGGUCGUUGUUGGAGUAUGUAUAUGGAGAUAAAUUAUGAAGUUCGAGCUAUAGUGGUUAUCCAGAAUGUCGAGUUAUUGGGAAUUGUUUCAAGGGUUCAUUGUCAGUGAUUUUGCAGGGUUGAUGUCGAGGUCGUGGAAUAUGAUUAUUGAUCAAGAAGAAGAGUUUUAUGUUAUGAAAUGGUGGGCUGAGGUUAAAGUUAGAUGUUUUGUUUCAAAGUAUUCGUAAUCUGUUAUUUGAUUUUCAAGUUGUUAUAUUGUGGGCCCUGACCCACAGAUCCAGGAUCGUUUUUAUAGGUUUAGUUUCCGCUGUAAAUAAAUGCAAAUUCGAGGUUUGUUAAGUGUUGAUUUUGUUUUGUGUAUCUUAAUUGUGAUUAGUUAGCAGCUCGGAAGUGCGGGCUGUUACACUUACAAUCACCAAAAAAUUUAGUAGCACUCCUUAUAAAGAGACCUCAUUUGCAAUUUUCA